rnacentral:rRNA from 1 species
AACCGCGGUUAUACGAGAAACCCUAGUUGAUAUGCAACGGCGUAAAGAGUGGUUAGGGAAACACUAAAAUAAAGUCAAACAUUUUCCUGGCCGUUACAAGCACAUGAAAAUAUGAGGUCCAACCACGAAAGUGACUUUAAUACUUCUUGACCCCACGAAAGCUAAGAAA